rnacentral:tRNA from 1 species
AGGAGAGAUGGCUGAGUGGUCGAAAGCGGCUGAUUGCUAAUCAGUUUAAGUGCGACUUGCGCUUACGAGGGUUCGAAUCCCUCUCUCUCCG